rnacentral:lncRNA from 1 species
CUGGCUACAAGCGAGGCCUCCGGAACCAAAGAAAGCACACGGCUCUUCUUAAAAUCGAAGGUGUUUAUGCCCGAAAUGAAACUGAGUUCUGCUUAGGCAAGAGGUGUGCUUAUGUGUACAAAGCAAAAAACAAUACAGUGACUCCUGGGGGCAAACCAAACAAAAUCAGAGUGGUCUGGGGAAAAGUAACUCGGGUCCAUGGAAAACAGUGGUAUGGGUCGCGCCAAAUUCCGAAGCAACCUUCCUGCAAAGGCCAUUGGACACAGAAUCUGUGUGAUGCUGUACCCAUCCCAGAUUUAAACUAAUGGAGAGUAAAUAAAUAAAAGUAGAUUUGUGCUCUUGUUUAAAAAAAAAA